rnacentral:lncRNA from 10 species
AAGAUCAGCCUGGCCAACAUAGUGAAACCCGUCUCUACUAAAAAUACAAAAAUUAGCCAAGUGUGGUGGCAUGUGCUUGUAGUCCCAGCUGCUUGGGAGGCUGAGGUAGUAGAAUCGCUUUAACCCGGGAGGCAGAGAUUUCUGUGAGCCAAGACCAUGCCAUUGCACUCCAGCCUGGGUGACAGAGCAAGACUCUGUCUCAAAAAAAAAUCCUGUCUCACAAGAAAUACAUAAAUAAAAAUGAAAACUAUUUCCUAUAGGCCAAGACUGAAGAAAGUACUGUUGUUCUAAUGGUUUCAUAGAAAGUUAAUGCCACCACCAUAGGCUCAUGAGAGGCCAUGAAGUGCUUUAAUGGGUCUUAAAUGGGAGGGGCUUCAAUAGAAUAGAUGUUGAAUAGAAUAUUUUAGUCUUAAGGGAGCUAGAGAUGAGACGUGAGAUUCCUGGGGUGUUCAUGGAGUGUCUAUUGUUGGACUAGAUCACUCUGUUGUGUUUUUUCCGAUGCAGUGGAACCACAACUGCCCUCAAAAGAGGGUCCUGAACCACCAGAAGAGGUUCCUCCUCCUACCACACCCCCAGUUCCAAAGGUGGAACCCAAGGGUGAUGGGAUUGGUCCCACCCGCCAGCCCCCUAGUCAGGGCUUGGGCUACCCCAAAUAUCAGAAGUCGUUGCCUCCUCGUUUCCAGCGGCAGCAGCAGGAGCAGCUCCUGAAGCAGCAGCAGCAGCACCAGUGGCAGCAGCAUCAACAGGGCUCUGCCCCUCCUACCCCAGUGCCCCCAUCACCACCACAGCCUGUGACCCUGGGGGCUGUGCCAGCUCCACAGGCUCCACCCCCGCCCCCCAAGGCCCUGUACCCAGGUGCUCUGGGCCGGCCCCCACCCAUGCCCCCAAUGAACUUUGAUCCCCGAUGGAUGAUGAU